rnacentral:lncRNA from 1 species
CUCAGGAGGAUUUGCCAGGGCUGAGCGCAGGGAGGAGAAGGCAAGAUUGAUUUAUGGCAGUGAUAAAGAGGAGAGUGAGAAUAAGAUAGAUACAUACAAAAUUCCGGCUACAUUUAUUGGGGAAUUGGAGCAUCAGGAGCCUGUUGAAUCUCGGACAGAAUUAUAUGAAAAAGAUCCAGGUUCAAGUAUGGAAAAUCAUGAAUCAGAAUCAGGGGAAGAGAGUGAGUGUGAGUACAGAGGUUUACCACUGACAAGGGCCAUAAAUAAUGAGGAGGUGGGUCAAAUACACACGCAGAGUAAGGGGCCCGUUUCAGGAAUGCUGCAGUUCCAGGCCCCUCUGAUACAGAAAAGAGGAGGACAGGAACCGGUAUAUGUUCCAUUUGCAAUUACAGACAUCAAUUGUUUAGUGGAUAAGAUGCCCCCACCCGCAGAGGGAGGCGGCAAGUGGAUGUCCAGCCUUUUUAGCUUAACACAGAGCAUGCAGCUGGCGAUGGGAGACUUUAGAGGAAUUCUAGGGAGACAAGUCUCUCUCUGGGAUUUGGAUAAAGUUGAGGUAGCAGCAGGCAUUAAAGAUAGACCUAAUGCUGCACGUUUUGGACCUUGUGCAACCAGGGUUGGUGAAGCUAUGAGACAGGUAUUUCCAAUAUCUCCAGGAGCAAUGCAGAAUUUAAGAUUUAAGUGGGAGGAAAGUGAGUCGGCACAUGGGUUCCUUACGAGGUGUAAAGAGGAAUGGAUGUGUGCCACAGGGUGCCAUCCUGGCUCAGAUAAUCUACACACCACUUUAUUCCGUCAGGCCAUAAUUUUAGGACUUCCACAAUCAGUGAAAGAAACUAUGGAAGGAAAUCCUGACCUUCCAGGCAGCACAGCGGAUGUCUGGGAGAGACAUCUCUCUCACCACAUCAACACAUUUAAAGCUAAACAACAGGGAAAGAGAGAGGAGGUGAUGACAGCGCAGGAACAGCUCCUAAAAAUACAGUUAGAUGAAGCACUGAAAAAGCUUAAUGAUAAACAAAAGGAAGAGAAACAGAUGGUUCAGCAGUUUCCUCGGCAGGUGCAGCCAGAUCAGUUAUGUCCGCAACAGGA